CUCCACAAGUGGCGUUGAUACUUGGGUCUUGCGCGACGGAUGCCUACGAAUCGUGUCAGGUCAGGAAUGGAGCAGCACUAAGAAGGAGUUUCCGGGUGCCGCAAGGGUGCCUGGGUUGAGCAGGCUGUGGAGG
rnacentral:SRP_RNA from 3 species